GUAAAUGCGUCUUCACCGAUGUUAGAAUUGUAACUCGUUGUUACAAGUGCCUGUCGUCUGCUUAAAAGCGCAUCAGAUUCACACCAACGCGCGAAGCAAUGCGCUUUUACGCACGCCUUCCAUUUCGAGGAAACCAUACAUGCACAAAUGCGUAUGCAUAGUUGCGUUGCUGGGAAUGUAAGUGCAUACGCAAAGAUGAACAGAAAAAGUAAUAGUGUGGAUGCUCAUUUACAAUCCAGACAGGCUUGAGGAAAUGCAAAAAAUAACUCGCAAGGGCAUAAAACAAGAAGAGAUUCAACCUGGAAAUAUGAAGGUUUGGUCAGAUCCUUUUGGCAGAAAGAAGGACUGAAAGAAACUUUUCCACUUUUUUGUGUGCAGUUUAUUUGUGUGUGCCGUAGGAGUACUGGUGCUUGUAACAUUGUACAUUUGUAUUUCGAGAAUGAUGACGACGAAAAUAUUCUAAUAUCCGCCGUCUUGUCAGAAAUUUGUAGUUAACAGGUAUCAUCUUUUGAUAAUUUAUUGACUUAGCUAAUUAAUAUGAUAUGAAAAAUUCUGUAUAUUUGUAAUACUUGUACCGUUAGAGGACAUCUUGGAAAUAAUAAAAAACAUGCAUGUUUGCACA